GACGAACGCUGGCGGCGUGCUUAACACAUGCAAGUCGAGCGGAAAGGCCACUUCGGUGGUACUCGAGCGGCGAACGGGUGAGUAACACGUGAGUAAUCUGCCCCUGGCUUUGGGAUAGCCACCGGAAACGGUGAUUAAUACCGGAUAUGACCACGUCUCGCAUGGGGUGUGGUGGAAAGUUUUUCGGCCAGGGAUGUGCUCGCGGCCUAUCAGCUUGAUGGUGAGGUAAUGGCUCACCAUGGCUUCGACGGGUAGCCGGCCUGAGAGGGUGACCGGUCAAACUGGGACUGGGGCACGGCCCAGACUCCUACGGGAGGCAGCAGUGGAGAAUAUUGGACAAUGGGCGGAAGCCUGAUCCAGCAACGCCGCGUGAGGGAUGACGGCCUUCGGGUUGUAAACCUCUUUCAGUACCGACGAAGCGCAAGUGACGGUAGGUACAGAAGAAGGACCGGCCAACUACGUGCCAGCCGCCGCGGUAAUAC
rnacentral:rRNA from 1 species